UACAGAGGUCUCAAGCGUUGUUCAGAUUCAUUGGGCGUAAAGGGUGCGUAGGCGGCGCGGUAAGUCGGGUGUGAAAUCUCGGAGCUUAACUCCGAAACUGCAUUCGAUACUGCCGUGCUUGAGGACUGGAGAGGAGACUGGAAUUCAUGGUGUAGCAGUGAAAUGCGUAGAGAUCAUGAGGAAGACCAGUGGCGAAGGCGGGUCUCUGGACAGUUCCUGACGCUGAGGUGCGAAAGCGUGGGGAGCAAACAGG
rnacentral:rRNA from 1 species